AUCCCGACCUACCCUAAAUUUUUGGCCCGGCCCUAAAUGUUUUUAUGGCCUUGGAGAAUUUUUUUUUCAACUUUUUAACAAAAAGAUGCAAAACUGCACUUUUUAUGCUUAAACAUAGCCAGUGAUGUUAGAAAUCAACUUACUGAUGCUCUAAAGGCAUAACCCCCUUAUUUGUAAUCAUUUUUUGACAAAAAAUAAUUUCCGAAAAGUCCCCCUUAAUUAAAAAAAUUUCCAAAAAAAAAAAAAAAAAAAAAUUCCGACCUACCUACCCUAAUUUUUUUUCAGCAUGUUACCGGAAACAAAGAAUUUUUUAAGACCUUAUGUAACUCAUUCAGAAGGUAUAUAGAUCUAAUAAAUAUCACUGAAUUAAUAACACCUAUUUUUACUAAUGAUAAUUGGCAGACGAUUAUAUAUGUAAAAUAUUCGCUCUACUUUUCCCUGAAAAUUCAUAUUAUUUUUCUCGUACUGUUAUCAACGAAAUUAUUGCCGCCAUAAUCAUUUCUUCCGUGUAGAAAUACGUGUAAUUAAUGAUUUCUUCAGACAUCAAAUUUACGCGCAUUAUAUCGUUAUUAAAUUGCAGAUCUCUUCCGCUCCCAAAAUGUGACCUAUCUUAUGACGUCACGAACCUGAGAUUAUUUGUCAUAGCCAGAAAGUUCCCGGGCACCCAAGAAUAUUUGAAGGAAAGAUUUAGUAGAGGAUGGUUAAGUAGUGUCGCCACAAGUAUCAAUGUAGCUGACGUUGUCAAAUAGUGAACCCAUCAUAAAGACGUAUUACAUCACAGCAUUUUACGUUUACGUUGCUGACGUCGACAGGAUUAGGAAACGUGUCACCAAAUACUAACGCCGAGAAAAUAUUCUCAAUAUUUGCUGUUCUGCUUGGUUGAUAGCCUCGUGUCUUAACUAUGCAGUGCGCCCCCUGGUGACACAUUGAUACAUCCGGAUGAUAUACAUCCAGCUUUCUGUUUAAUAGCAUGCGGUUCAUUGCAGAUUAAGUGUGACAGAAAAAAUAAUAUUAUGGCGAUAAGAGGAUGGUUAGAUACUGCAGCGACGAGAAUCAUUGCAGCUUACGUUGCCAACGCUACAGAUAGUGGACCCAGCAUAAAGACGUAUUAUAUCACAGCGUUAUAUUUUACGUUUACGUCACUGACGUCAAUAGGAUUCGGAUACAUGUCACCAAAUACUAAUGGAAUUGACAUGC